CCUGGCGGCUUUAGCACGGUGGUCCCACCUGACCCCAUGCCGAACUCAGAAGUGAAACGCCGCAGCGCCGGAUCGAACCGCAGACCUCCUGCGUGCAAAGCAGGCGCUCUCCCAGCU
rnacentral:rRNA from 1 species